rnacentral:rRNA from 1 species
UACGUAGGUGGCGAGCGUUAUCCGGAAUGAUUGGGCGUAAAGGGUGCGUAGGCGGCCUGCUAAGUCUGGAGUGAAAGGUACCGGCUCAACCGGUACAGGCUCUGGAAACUGGCGGGCUAGAGAGCAGGAGAGGGCGGUGGAACUCCAUGUGUAGCGGUAAAAUGCGUAGAUAUAUGGAAGAACACCAGUGGCGAAGGCGGCCUACUGGACGGUGACUGACGCUGAGGCUCGAAAGCGUGGGGAGCAAAUAGG